GAUGAACGCUGGCGGCGUGCCUAAUACAUGCAAGUCGAGCGAACGGACGAGAAGCUUGCUUCUCUGAUGUUAGCGGCGGACGGGUGAGUAACACGUGGAUAACCUACCUAUAAGACUGGGAUAAUUUCGGGAAACCGGAGCUAAUACCGGAUAAUAUUUUGAACCGCAUGGUUCAAAAGUGAAAGACGGUCUUGCUGUCACUUAUAGAUGGAUCCGCGCUGCAUUAGCUAGUUGGUAAGGUAACGGCUUACCAAGGCAACGAUGCAUAGCCGACCUGAGAGGGUGAUUGGCCACACUGGAACUGAGACACGGUCCAGACUCCUACGGGAGGCAGCAGUAGGGAAUCUUCCGCAAUGGGCGAAAGCCUGACGGAGCAACGCCGCGUGAGUGAUGAAGGUCUUCGGAUCGUAAAACUCUGUUAUUAGGGAAGAACAUAUGUGUAAGUAACUGUGCACAUCUUGACGGUACCUAAUCAGAAAGCCACGGCUAACUACGUG
rnacentral:rRNA from 1 species